AACGUAGGAGACAAACGUUAUCCGGAGUUACUGGGCGUAAAGGGCGUGUAGGUGGUAGUGUUAAGUCUGGCGUGAAAUUUUUCGGCUUAACCGGGAAAGGUCGUCGGAUACUGCACAACUAGAGGACGGUAGAGACGUGUGGAAGUUCCGGGUGUAGUGGUGAAAUGCGUAGAGAUCCGGAGGAACACCAGUGGCGAAGGCGACACGCUGGGCCGUACCUGACACUCGAUGCGCGACAGCAUGGGGAGCCAAACGAG
rnacentral:rRNA from 1 species